rnacentral:rRNA from 1 species
UGACCUCAAAUCAGGUAGACUACAGCGA